rnacentral:rRNA from 1 species
GAAUCUUCCGCAAUGGGCGAUAGCCUGACGGAGCAACGCCGCGUGAACGAAGAAGGCCUUCGGGUCGUAAAGUUCUGUCCUCAGGGAAGAACCCUCAUGGGAGGAAAUGCCCAUGAGCUGACGGUACCUGGGAAGGAAGCCCUGGCUAACUACGUGCCAGCAGCCGCGGUAAUACGUAGAGGCCAAGCGUUGUCCGGAAUGACUGGGCGUAAAGGGGACGCAGGCGGAUAAGUAAGUCAAAUGUGAAAGGCACCGGCUCAACCGGUGAGCUGCAUUUGAAACUGCCUAUCUUGAGUUCAGGAGAGGAGAGCGGAAUUCCUGGUGUAGCGGUGGAAUGCGUAGAUAUCAGGAAGAACACCAGUGGCGAAGGCGGCUCUCUGGCCUGAAACUGACGCUCAUGUACGAAAGCUGGGGGAGCGAAC